rnacentral:tmRNA from 1 species
GGGGAUGAAAGGCCUCGAUGAGGAAUUAACUAAAAUAAGCAAGUCGAGUAUUCUUGAAUCUCGUAAAACUUCAAGAAAACGAAAUAAGUGCCAACUUAUUCCAAAAACCUGCUUUAGCAUUUGCUUAAAGCCAUCUGACUUGUUGAUUCUCGCUAAGCAAAUUCAGGUGUUAUAUUUACCCUAUUAAAUUCGCUUUGCGAAUAUUUAAUAAGGUAAAGCGAGAUAAAUAAUCCUUUCUAAACCCAGAAGGACUAUUGAAAAUAAUUUGGGUUUAGGGUAUAGAAAUUUUGUCCAAUUUAAAUUCUAUAUUCACAUCAAAUUGGGCUAAGCUUGUAGAGUUGCUUUAGGAAAACUCCUCACACCCGGGUUCAACUCCCGGCAUCUCCACCC